UUCAUCCAGAGUGGCGGAGGGAAUAGGCCCGAUGAAACCCGGCAACCGGACUUGAUCCGGUGCUAAGUCCUACGACAGCGAUGUCGGCAGAUGAG
rnacentral:ncRNA from 1 species